rnacentral:tRNA from 1 species
GGUUGUGGCUCAGUGGUAUAGCACUUGCCUAGCAUGUGUGAGGCACUGGGUUCAAUUCACAGCACCA